rnacentral:misc_RNA from 1 species
GGGGACUACUGGGGUAUCUAAUCCUGUUUGCUACCCACGCUUUCGUAUCUCAGCGUCAAAAAUGGCCUAGUUAGUCGCCUUCGCUUCUGGUAUUCUUUCCAAUAUCUACGAAUUUCACCUCUACACUGGAAAUUCUACUAACCUUUACCAAAUUCUAGAUCACUAGUUUUAAAUGCAGUUCCUGGGUUGAGCCCAGGGAUUUCACAUCUAACUUUUUGAUCCGCCUACAUACGCUUUACGCCCAGUAAUUCCGAACAACGCUAACCCCCUCCGUAUUACCGCGGCUGCUGGCACGGAGUUAGCCGGGGUUUCUUUACCUGCUACUGUCAUUAUCAUCACAGGCGAAAGAGCUUUACGACCCUAAGGCCUUCUUCACUCACGCGGCAUGGCUGGAUCAGGC